UAAGUGCAUUGUGUACCCAAAUUGUGCAAAACUAAACUUCUGUAUAUCGUGUUUUCAAUUAUGAUUAUCCAAAAAUAGUGAACGGAUAAGAUUAUCUUUGAUUAUGAGGACUAACUGUGGAUAACAAGCUACUAUAACUAAUUAUUGCAAUCUUACACUAUUUACAGAUCUUGGAAGGAAAAGCUCCCAGCUCUUUCCAGCACAGAGCAUCUUGGGGUCAACAGCUGAAAAAAUCUCAUUGCUUGCACCUGAAAUUCAUUACUUUUCCCUAAUAAGAAAUUGAUAUUCCAGAGGAAAUUGGCCACUGGAAGCAUGAAGCUGUCUAAAGAAAAAGCUACAUCAGCUGAGUUCUUGGUACAGUGACAACAUGAAGACUUUUACCUCUGCCUCCUGCAGUGAUCUUAGAUUAGAAGCAAGAGGAGAAUGAAGCAUACAUGAAGGUAACUUGUGGGACA